rnacentral:lncRNA from 1 species
CUGACUCCAGCCAAGAAACUUGAGUCCCUUUGCUUUUAAAGGCUCAGAUUCAAAGUCAAAUGAAUUGGAUGAAAAUCAGUACCAGUGGCUAUGCCUAUAAAUAGCCAUGAUAUCUUUCUUCCCUGUGAAUUAAAGGUGGAGAAAGAGAGAAGAUGAGCAGGAAUGGUGGAUUUGUGUUGACAGAGUUUUUAAAAGGUGUUGUCAUUUUGGAAAUAGAGUACCCUCCAAGUUGGGAUCUAAUGGAAAGAGAGAAUCGGUGCCAAGAGCUUUUAGGGUCCUACAAAAGAAAAACAUUAUUUGUGGAGGGUUUUCUUUUGCCGGCUUUGAGGGUGGCACAAGAACAGAGCUUCUGUCUUUGGGGGGGGGGGGAUAAUAGAUGCAUUGACUUUUCCAAGAAAAUCUUAUCUCUUCAACAGCGAUGACCAGCAUGUGCUGCCGAAUGGUACAAAAGGAAAUAGUCACUGAUUCCUGUUAGAAACUCGAGUUGUAACCUCACAAUCGGCCUCUGUUUAUAGAAGCUUCCAAAUAUAGGAAAUCUGUUGAUAUGAGUUUCAACAUAAAUAACUUUUUACAAAGUGUGUGGAGUUCACCAGUUCUCCAUAGCUGAUGGAUAUAGGAAGACACUUGCUGAAGUGACAGGGGUCCUACCUUGUGACCAGGACGUUCCGUGUCACCCUCCCUGGCAUGGAGAUGUUGAUCUCCAGACCUCUGGGUGGAAGACUUUGCCCACAGCACUGGGUGCCAACCACUGAUUACCUGUCAUGCAAGCAAGACAGCUACUAACUGUGGGUCACAGAGGGACCGGGGGCACUAGGCUCCCUGCCUGACUUUGGGAGCCACGUAUGGUGUUGGGGGCUUGCUUGGUGUCUGUUGGAGACCGAGGUCCUGUCCUGCCUUUACCCAUGAUCCAUCAGCUUCAGCUUGCCCAUUCCCUUCUGAGCCCACUUCCCAUUGUCCUCAUGAGUUUCUUUGGUCUUUACUGAAAGAAGCAGGUGAAAAUAGAAAAGCUGAGGAAGAGUAGGAACAGAACCAUAUUUGAAUGGGAUAUUCAAGCUGUCAAAGCACAGGCUUUUCCAAGAAGCUGUUUUUAUUUCCCAAUGGCAAAUAGCCCUUUCUGGAAUGUUUAGAGAUGAUGUGUCAUGGAAUUCCCCAAACAAGACUCUUGUUCGGAUGAUAUUAGGUAGUGUCCUUUUAGUAUGCUGGUCGAUCUUUCAUAGUGUUAGUUUUUUGUUACUUAAAAAGAAAUCAGCUAUAAAUAAAAUGUAUUUUUGUAAUUUCCACGUGUAUAUAUGGUAUAUUUCUACCAAUGGCCAGUUGUUGUAGUCCAAAACCUAAGUCAGCUUGCAGAACACUGUGGACAGUGCGAGAUUUUACUGACAGAUUCACAGGAUGCCUAAGGCUAUCCAAAUAGGCAUCCAAUGCACUUGAAUGAACAAAGAGCCAAAGAAACUCAGCCUUUUCAUGCAAAUGGUAUGAGUCUGAUAAAAUCAGCUACAUUGUCCUGCUUUAUCAAUAAUAUCAAUAUUUCAUCAGUGCAAUGAUAUUAACCCAGUACUUUGUCUGCUUGGUAAAUGCCUGGAAAUACUGUAUGCAAAAAUGAAAUUUCAAGACCUCAGUGUCAUUGAAAUAUAUGUACAUGUUUCAAAAGACAGUGUCUGAGCUUUGGAUGUUCCAGUGACACACAGACCAUAAAUCUAUAGUUUGCAGUGGUGUGACUCCAGAUGGCUAAGAGGAUGGAGCUCUAGAUAUCACAGUCUUUGCAGAAAUAGGUGGUCCCUACUUGAAAUGCUUGAGAAAACUCAAAUAUAGUGUGCUAUAUCAGACACUCUCUUAAAUCAGACGUC